AAACUACAAGCCUUAGUUCUGUUCGUCUCUCUCAUCUAAUCUCUCUGCCUUCUCCUGCGUCCUCCCUGUCUCUCGACUCUCUCUCUCUCCCCUCUCGACUCCGCCGCCGGCGCCGCUGCCCCGCGCAGGCCCGUCGCCGCCCACCCUCGCUGCUGCCCCGCGCCCACCCACCCUCGCUGUUGCCUCGCGCCCGCCCACCCUUGUCGCUGCAUCGCACCGCUGCCGCCUCGGCGCUUUCCUCCUCCGCGCAGUCGCCACUCUGCCUGCCGCCUCGGCGCUUUCCCACGGCUCAAAAACCCUAGCCGUCGUUCUGCCUGCGACGGCCGUUUUCGCCGCUCUGCCUGCAGUCGCGCUAGGCGCUGUGCCCAGCCAAAUCUUCUAUGCUCAAGCCCCUGCCUCUCUCAAUCUCUCUCGCCUCCGGCCUUUCUCUGUCGUCCGACGGUCCAUGUUGCCCCUGCUUCCUCUGUACGUCGACUAUGGCGCCCACUGCUGCAAGCACCUGGCGAUUGUGCCUCCGUCGACCGACCUUCCACCUCCUCCGGCCUCUGUCUCAAUUGGGUGACUCCGCAGCAGAAGCAAUUGACAACAGCAGAUGAAGCCUCAGGACACGGUGGCAGGAGGUGAGGAAGAGUACAAUGCAUUUUUCUACUCUCUCGUAUCUACAGACACUCAGGAAUGUAUUAUUCAACAAAAAGGCAGCAGUUUUUGAUCGAUCAAUGUUAUAGUUUUAAGGUGCUGAUCUUGUUGGAAAGGUUGAAAGAAACAUCCCUGAAGAUGACCCCAGAAAUCCGGUUGUAAGAUAUCUGCUAUGCUUUUUGGUUGAUAGCUCUGUUUUGAAGUUAAUUCUAGUCACAUUUUGCAGGUCAUUGCUGACAAUGUUGGUGAUAAUGUCGGAGAUAUUGCUGGAAUGGGAUCUGAUCUUUUUGGUUCAUAUGCCGAAUCCUCUUGUGCUGCUCUUGUUAUCCGUUGCAACUCUAAUAAGAUAAAGUUCAGUGCAGUUUUAGCAGCAGCCGGAUUAAUUGCUUGUCAUGCCUCAAAAAGGUUCCCUGAUGAACAGUGGGAGAAGUAUGCAGUUGUAACUCUCAUGGAUUGCCGGUCUGCUCUUGAUCCCGUGCUUAGCAGUCAUCAUAUCUGUAAGUUCUGCUGGAUUCACUAUUAAAGUUGAGAACUGUGCAAAUUGCGAAGAUUCCCUUUCCUAGAUGAUGUUAAAAGAAAAAUAGAUGACUUAUAAGUUGGCAUUCGUGAAUGUAUUAAUGAAAUAUGAAUGAAGCAGAAACAACAGAUCCUUGAACAUGCUAUAUAACACUCUUUAAUACGUCAUUCUUUUUCUGAUCCUUCCACCCUAGAUUCUAGUACACUCAUCGAUAAGUCGUCAUGAUUCAUGAGUAUAUCAAUGUUUAAUGUCAUCAGUCGA